AGCGAACGCUGGCGGCAGGCCUAACACAUGCAAGUCGAACGAACCUUUCGGGGUUAGUGGCGGACGGGUGAGUAACACGUGGGAACGUGCCCUUAGGUUCGGAAUCACUCAGGGAAACUUGUGCUAAUACCGAAUGUGCCAUUCGGGGGAAAGAUUAAUCGCCUUUAGAGCGGCCCGCGUCUGUUUAGCUAGUUGGUUGAGGUAAUGGCUCGCCUAGGCGACGAUCAGUAGCUGGUCGGAGAGGAUGAUCAGCCACAUUGGGACUGAGACACGGCCCAAACUCCGACGGGAGGCAGCAGUGGGGAGUCUUACGCAAUGAGCGAAAGCCUGACGCAGCCAUGCGGCGUGAAUGAUGAAGGUCUUAGUAUUGUAAAAUUCUUUCACCGGGGACGAUAAUGACGGUACCCGGAGAAGAAGCCCCGGCUAACUUCGUG
rnacentral:rRNA from 1 species